AUAUGGGUGAACUCUUUAGGGACUAAGUGAUGCUUUAGGAGCAGUUGGUGCUGUUAGGACACUGGUGACAUCACAGGGGAUUUCAAGAGUUACCCAGGAAACUGUAGAAUGUCCAGAAAAGGACUAUUUAUAUCAAAUAGUACAGCCUUUGCCUUCCUGCUAAUGUUUUCCCUGUAGUAACCAGAAGCUGAAGUUCUUGUCUUUACAGGACUCUCCAGGGACACAGUUGCUCUGUGGACUGUGCCAUGAUAUUGCACUCUGCCUUCUACUCUUCAAGAUGUAAGAGGACAAAUACUUCAGCCAUCACCCCAUGUUCCCAAAAAAGCCCUUUCUUUCUUCUGUGUUCAGUGAAGGGGGUCCACAAUAAGAACUCACACCUGGACUUGCAUACACCUUGCUUCCUUGAAGAGCUGAACAAAUUCUUCCAUUUUCCCAACUUAAUACAACCCUGAAUCUGGCCAGGAUUCUUUGUCCAGACAGUGGUCAAUUGUUUUUAAUUCUCUCUUCAAGAUGGGUGAAACACAGGUUAAUGUCAAGUGUUUUAUGUCUAUGAUGCCAAACUAGGAAGGGAAGAAAAUUAAAUUUACAAAUUUCUCUAGGAGGUCAAAUCUGCUUGGCAGGAUCUUGUUCCUCUAUUAUUAGGAAAAAACUUAAGAAGUGAUUGGACUCUACAUUGAGAAAAGAUAACCUUGGGAAUUUCUCCCAUCAACAUCUAUUAUGAGUGACUACAGCAGCUGCCAGCAAAAUAGCUCCUGAAUUUGGAGUACCAAGGUCGUUUUUGUUUUGUAUGUACUUUAUGGUAAGCCUUCUCUAGCAACUAUUAAGCUAGUACAGAUUAUCUACAGUGAUUAUACAGUAUCUCUCUUCCAGUUCCUUGUCAUUCAUAAGAAGCAUGUAAUGUACAAAGAAGGCAAGAAAACUUAUCAGGUUGUUCUCAAUAAAAAUCACAUUUUU